CUUCCUACAGAAUGGUUUCAACCAUGUGAGCCCCAGCCAUUCAGGAAUGUUUGGAAAAGACUGUCCAAGUUGCCCUACAAGACAGAGGACCUGGCCCAGCAGAUUCUGAUCACCAUCCCACGAGACCGCAUCUCGGCCCAGGAUGCACUGCAGCACCCCUAUUUCAACACGCUACCGCCCCCCAUCAUGCAGCUACGAGACAUCUACCCAUCCGACGCAUGAUUAAAGACACGAGCUUCCUACUGUGAGCACAGAUGGCUCCUUUGAAGAGAUCAGACUGUCUCCACAGCUCUCGGGUGGCUAAACAGAUAUACAUCAGGAAAGUGGAUGUAUAAGUAAGCAAAGUUGCAUUUGAAGUCUCUCUCCACCUGUCUGUCUAUCGCGCUGAUAGUCUGCCUGGUUCGGUUUGAACAUAGAUGUGUUUUUCCAGGCCGUAGAAAUAAUAUUCAGUGAACAGAAGAAGAGUACAGGGAGUACUAGGAUAGAUAUUAGUGAAAUGGAGGAAUGUAUUAGAUAGGAACAACACCUCAGGG